GAUGAACGCUGGCGGCGUGCCUAAUACAUGCAAGUCGAGCGAAUGGAUUAAGAGCUUGCUCUUAUGAAGUUAGCGGCGGACGGGUGAGUAACACGUGGGUAACCUGCCCAUAAGACUGGGAUAACUCCGGGAAACCGGGGCUAAUACCGGAUAAUAUUUUGAACUGCAUGGUUUAAAAUUGAAAGGCGGCUUCGGCUGUCACUUAUGGAUGGACCCGCGUCGCAUUAGCUAGUUGUUGAGGUAACGGCUCACCAAGGCAACGAUGAGUAGCCGACCUGAGAGGGUGAUCGGCCACACGGGGACUGAGACACGGCCCAGACGCCGACGGGAGGCAGCAGUAGGGAAUCUUCCGCAAUGGACGAAAGUCUGACGGAGCAACGCCGCGUGAGUGAUGAAGGCUUUCGGGUCGUAAAACUCUGUUGUUAGAGAAGAACAAGUGCUAGUUGAAUAAGCUGGCACCUUGACGGUACCUAACCAGAAAGCCACGGCUAACUACGUGCCAGCCGCCGCGGUAA
rnacentral:rRNA from 1 species